GAUGAAGAACGUAGCGAAAUGCGAUAAGUAGUGUGAAUUGCAGAAUUCAGUGAAUCAUCGAAUCUUUGAACGCACAUUGCGGCCAUAGGUAUUCCUUUGGCCAUGCCUGUUCGAGCGUCAUUUACACCCUCAAGCCUAGCUUGGUGUUGGGCACCUGUCCCGCCGUUUUCGCGCGCGGACUCGCCUCAAAGUCAUUGGCGGCGGUCGUGCCGGCCCCCUCGCGCAGCACAUUUGCGCUUCUCGGAGGCCCGGCGGAUCCGCGCUCCAGCAAGACCUUUCACGACUUGACCUCGGAUCAGGUAGGGAUACCCGCUGAACUUAAGCAUAUCAAUAAGCGGAGGA
rnacentral:misc_RNA from 1 species